rnacentral:rRNA from 1 species
CCCUUAGAUGUUCUGGGCCGCACGCGCGCUACACUGAUGCAUUCAACGAGUUUCUUCCUGGUCCGAGAGGAAUGGGUAACCUUUUGAAAGUGCAUCGUGACGGGGAUAGAUUAUUGCAAUUAUUAAUCUUCAACGAGGAAUGCCUAGUAGGCGCAAGUCAUCAGCUUGCGUCGAUUACGUCCCUGCCCUUUGUACACACCGCCCGUCGCUCCUACCGAUUGGGUGUGCUGGUGAAAUGUUCGGAUCGGCCGUUUGUCGCGGUUUCCGCGGCUCGUGGCUGAGAAGUUCAUUAAACCCUCCCACCUAGAGGAAGGAGAAGUCGUAACA